rnacentral:rRNA from 1 species
AUUGAACGCUGGCGGCAUGCCUAACACAUGCAAGUCGAACGGUAACAGGGGCUUCGGCCCGCUGACGAGUGGCGGACGGGUGAGUAACACGUAGGAAUCUACCUUUUAGUGGGGGAUAACUUAGGGAAACUUAAGCUAAUACCGCAUAAUCACUACGGUGGAAAGCAGGGGCUCGCAAGACCUUGCGCUGAUAGAUGAGCCUACGUCGGAUUAGCUUGUUGGUAGGGUAAAGGCCUACCAAGGCGACGAUCCGUAGCUGGUCUGAGAGGACGACCAGCCACACUGGGACUGAGACACGGCCCAGACUCCUACGGGAGGCAGCAGUGGGGAAUAUUGGACAAUGGGGGCAACCCUGAUCCAGCAAUGCCGCGUGUGUGAAGAAGGCCUCGGUU